GCCGGAUUGGCGGAAUGGUAGACGCGGGGCACUCAAAAUGCCUUGUCUUCGGGCGUGCGGGUUCGAGUCCCGCAUCCGGCA
rnacentral:tRNA from 1 species